rnacentral:rRNA from 1 species
UACGAACCGUACGAACGUUAUUCGGAAUCACUGGGCUUAAAGGGUGCGUAGGCGGCGCGGAAAGUUGGGUGUGAAAUCCCUCGGCUCAACCGAGGAAUUGCGCCCAAAACUACCGUGCUUGAGGGAGACAGAGGUGAGCGGAACUAAGGGUGGAGCGGUGAAAUGCGUUGAUAUCCUUAGGAACACCGGUGGCGAAAGCGGCUCACUGGGUCUCUUCUGACGCUGAGGCACGAAAGCUAGGGGAGCGAACGGG